CAACCCUCGAACCCCUCCGGGGGUCCGGCGUUGGGGAUCGGCCCUUUACCGGGCCGGCCCCGAAAUACAGUGGCGGUCUCGCCGCAGCCUCUCCUGCGCAGUAGUUUGCACACUCGCACCGGGAGCGCGGCGCGCCCACGUCCGUAAAACACCCAACUUCUGAAA
rnacentral:misc_RNA from 1 species